rnacentral:rRNA from 1 species
CCCGCCGGCGGCCCACGAAACUCUGUUUUGGCCCUGAAUCUCUGAAACGAUACACGAAAUCAGUUAAAACUUUCAACAACGGAUCUCUUGGUUCUGGCAUCGAUGAAGAACGCAGCGAAAUGCGAUACGUAGUGUGAAUUGCAGAAUUCAGUGAAUCAUCGAAUCUUUGAACGCACAUUGCGCCCGCUAGUAUUCUAGCGGGCAUGCCUGUUCGAGCGUCAUUUCAACCCCUUAAGCCUCUGUUGCUUAGCGUUGGGAGCCCACGGCGUCCUGCCGUCGCUCCUCAAAUCCAGUGGCGGAGCCGGUGCGCGCUCUAGGCGUAGUAGAUUUUCUCCAUCUCGCCUACGGCCGGGCCGGCCCUCCUGCCGUAAAAAACCCCCCCCUUACAGAAGGUUGACCUCGAAUCAGGUAGGAAUA